CGGGCGUUCAUGCGUGAUGGGAGGGGCCCCAUCAAUGGCGGCAGUGGCGGCGGUGGAGGCUGGGAAGCAGCCCACCAGGCUCUGCUGUCUAUGGGAUUCUCCAGGCCCCACCCUGCUGCAGAUCGCGAGACCAUCGCCUUCUUCAAACCGCUGCUGGUUUUUCCUGACCUUCUGCCCCACGCACAGAAGGGACUGAGCCUCAGUGUCUUCAUCUGUGAAAUGGAGCCAAGAUUCCUACCUCACGGCCAUCACCUGUGCUUUCGAGUGGAAAGAGGACAGCUUCGGAAUCACGGGGACUUGGUCCAGAUCUCAGUGUUGCCACUGGGCAAGUCUAUCUUUCUGGGCUCCGGUUUCUUGUUUGCAGAGAGGGGAGAGUGGAGGCCACUUCUCCAGAGUUGUGAGAACUGGAGUCAACUCCAUCCUUGGCGGUGGCACGUGCUCUGCAAAUGGCAGCAGAUGGUGCCGGUGCCGAGAGGAGAUGUCAGUGUCCCCGUUUCUCAGGCUAGGAAACGGAGGCUCCAAGAGGAGGUUCAAGUGAAUGGUGAGGCUGGGUUGGCCCCAGCCCGUCUGAUGCACACAUAUCCCACUGCCCGCUGAGCCUCUUUCCCUCCUUGAUUGACCCGGAGGAAGCGUUUGCUCCUGGAGGGGCCCAGCCGUCCUCACACAUUGGCCAGAGGCUGGGGGUGACCGUGGCUGACGUGGCAUUUGCUGUCUUUCCCCGGAGCUGCAGUGACAAGCUAACAACUGUUACCAGGAGUCCUGCUUCCCACCACCAGCGAGGGAGAGACGUUGAUGGCAUCCGGAGGGUGGGCCUGGGG
ensembl:lncRNA